AUCUCUUUCCUCCCUCCCUCCUCAGAUCUGCUAAGGUAUCACGACCUUUAGUGACCUUAGUAAACUAGUGGGGAGGACUCGUUAACUAAUACACAGCGACAUCUUCAUCCUAAAACCAUGUCAACAACAAGCAUGAACCAAGGAAUGCUCUAAACUCUUACUCAAUUCAACUUAAGUUUGCACAUCUGUGAAGAAACUGAAGCCUUUAAAAGUAUUUCUCAUAAAAGCACACACAACUAAGAUCAUCAGCAUCAAGAAAGUAUCAAAGAAUUCUUCGAUAAAACUCAAGGAUCUAAAUUAUUGAGUAAAAACUGACAUUAGAAAGUAGUCUAUUUUAAAAACCAAUUUAUAUUGAUUUUAAAUCACUGUAAAGAUAAAUUUUAUCAAUUACAAAAGUUCAAAUUGCAUG
rnacentral:lncRNA from 1 species